rnacentral:rRNA from 1 species
GACGAACGCUGGCGGCGUGCCUAAUACAUGCAAGUAGAACGCUGAAGGAGGAGCUUGCUCUUCUGGAUGAGUUGCGAACGGGUGAGUAACGCGUAGGUAACCUGCCUGGUAGCGGGGGAUAACUAUUGGAAACGAUAGCUAAUACCGCAUAAGAGUAGAUGUUGCAUGACAUUUACUUAAAAGGUGCAAUUGCAUCACUACUAGAUGGACCUGCGUUGUAUUAUCUAGUUGGUGGGGUAACGGCUUACCAAGGCGACGAUACAUAGCCGACCUGAGAGGGUGAUCGGCCACACUGGGACUGAGACACGGCCCAGACUCCUACGGGAGGCAGCAGUAGGGAAUCUUCGGCAAUGGACGGAAGUCUGACCGAGCAAAGCCGCGUGAGUGAAGAAGGUUUUCGGAUCGUAAAGCUCUGUUGUAAGAGAAGAACGAGUGUGAGAGUGGAAAGUGCACACUGUGACGGUAUCUUACCAGAAAGGGACGGCUAACUACGUG